CGUGUAGGCGGCCUCUUAAGUCUGGUGUGAAAGUCCUGGGCUUAACCCCGGAAGGGCACUGGAAACUGGGAGGCUAGAGUACCGGAGAGGAGGGUGGAAUUCCUGGUGUAGCGGUGAAAUGCGUAGAUAUCAGGAGGAACACCGGUGGCGAAGGCGGCCCUCUGGACGGAUACUGACGCUGAGACGCGAAAGCGUGGGGAGCAAACAGGAUUAGAUACCCUGGUAGUCCACGCUGUAAACGAUGGGCACUAGGUGUUCGGGGUAUUGACCCCCUGAGUGCCGCAGCUAACGCAUUAAGUGCCCCGCCUGGGGACUACGGCCGCAAGGUUAAA
rnacentral:rRNA from 1 species